rnacentral:lncRNA from 1 species
AACAAUGUGUGAAUUUAUCAACACCACAACAACUAUUGCACACAAAGUUUAUGGAUUUAUGAAAAUACUUAUAGGAAUUUGAUUAAAAUGAAAAAUAAAAAAAACUGAAAUCAAAAAGGGAAAAAAGAAUAGGAAAAACAAAAUGAGAAAACCGGCAACAAAACAUGAUGAGGAAAACCAAAAGAAAAAAUCACUCAAAAAACCAUCACUACAUUCAUUGCGAGGAUUCCCAAAAAAA